rnacentral:lncRNA from 1 species
CAGCAAGUUCACCUCCACCAGCUGUGUCUUCUCCACCACCGUCUGUAGCAUCUCCACCGGCUACUUCACCACCACCAGUAGCUGCUUCUACUCCUCCGCCUGUUAGCGCUCCGCCACCAGCUACUCCUCCACCAGUGAGCACUCCGCCACCAGCUACUCCACCACCAGUGAGCGCUCCGCCACCGGCUACUCCGCCACCAGCUGCAGCACCUUCACCGGUAGCAACUCCACCAGCUGCAACUCCGGCUCCUGCUCCAAAGGCGGU